AACACAUCAGAGGAGGGACGACGGAGACUGAUCCCAGCUGUGAGGAACUGCAGAAAGUUUCUGGCAGCAGGGAGUAGAGCAGUAACCAGACUGGAACAGGUGAAGCGUCUGAGCAGAUUUGGUUCCUGUGAACUCUCAGAGAGUCACUGUGAAGUCGUGGCCUCAGCUCUGAAGUCCAACCCCUCCCAUCUGAAACAUCUGGACCUGAG